rnacentral:lncRNA from 1 species
UAACAUGUAUAUAUAAAUAAAAAGAUGUGGUCUGAUUGUCAUAUAUGUAUAUGUAUAUAUUUAUUAAAAUCACUACAAUCUACAUUCCAACUGUAAAAAUAAAACAGCCAUAUAAUUUAAUAUAGAUAGUAAAAUAAAGAUGAAAUAUAAACUGAAGACUUUAAAAUAAAUGCAUACAAAUACAUGUAUAUCAAAUGUACAAAUUAUAGUUUCUUUUGGAAAAUUCUUUUUAAUAAAUAAUGUGUUUUACAUGGUAAUCUUUUUAUCAUUACAAUACGAUAGAUAUUUGUUUGUAGAAGAACUGCUUCAAGAUUCCACAUUAAAUAUAUAAAUAAUGCCCUUUUUCAAAUCAAUUCAGAUUUCAACAGAUCUCUAGAGUUGAUAAGAUAAGCUAUGUUUUCUAAAAUUGAGAAUGGAAAUGGAGAAUGUAUCAAAGCGACAACAAUCUGACCAUAGAGCAAACAACAGCGCCCAUUCUAGUCUGUUUAUGAACCAGGGAAUAAGACAAAGUGCAAAUGAAGAAAAAAUUCAAGAACCCACAAAAAAGUAUGACUUACCUGCUAAUGUCAGCAGCCUAGAAAUUCCCUGAGGUAGCAUAGGUAAUGUUUCAUGCAGUUACUUUUUACCAACUUAUUUUUGCAGAAACUUUAUUUUACAUUUUGCCCUUUCCAACCUUCUUUGAAGUGUUUAAUUUUGCCAUUUUAUAGUUUGCUUGAUAUUUACAAAUAAGAAAGAUAAAAUUUUACAUAUUCUCAAUGAUUUAUAUUCUCUGUCUUUUUCAUAUUUCAGUUUGUUUACAUUUACAUUUUGAUUACAUGUUAUAUACUGUAUGUGUUGAAGGAUAAUAUGGAAUGUGAAAUUUAAACUUUCUGCUAGGUACUUA